rnacentral:rRNA from 1 species
UGGAACUGAGACACGGUCCAGACACCUACGGGUGGCAGCAGUCGAGAAUUUUUCACAAUGGGCGCAAGCCUGAUGGAGCGACGCCGCGUGGGGGAUGAAUGGCUUCGGCCCGUAAACCCCUGUCAUUUGCGAACAAAUUGGUUCACUUAAUACCUGAACCAUUGAUAGUAGCGAAAGAGGAAGGGACGGCUAACUCUGUGCCAGCAGCCGCGGUAAUACAGAGGUCCCGAGCGUUGUUCGGAUUCACUGGGCGUAAAGGGUGCGUAGGUGGCAGGGUAAGUCGGAUGUGAAAGCUCGGAGCUCAACUCCGAAAUGGCAUUGGAAACUUCCCAGCUCGAGGGUUGGAGGGGGGACUGGAAUGCUUGGUGUAGCAGUGAAAUGCGUAGAUAUCAAGCGGAACACCAGUGGCGAAGGCGAGUCCCUGGACAACUCCUGACACUGAGGCACGAAAGCUAGGGGAGCAAACAGGAUUAGAUACCCUGGUAGUCCUAGCCGUAAACGGUGCACGUUUGCUGUAAAAGGAAUCGACCCCUUUUGUGGCGUAGCCAACGCGUUAAACGUGCCGCCUGGGAAGUACGGUCGCAAGAUUAAAACUCAAAGAAAUUGACGGGGGCCUGCACAAGCGGUGGAGUAUGUGGCUCAAUUCGAUCAACGCGAAGAACCUUACCUGGCCUUGACAUGUAUGUAGUAGAAGGGUGAAAGCCUGACGACCUCGCAAGAGGAGCAUACACAGGUGCUGCAUGGCUGUCGUCAGCUCGUGUCGUGAGAUGUUGGGUUAAGUCCCGCAACGAGCGCAACCCUUGUGUCCUGUUGCCACUCCCAUGAAAGUGGGAAGCACUCUGGACAGACUGCCUCGCUUAAACGAGGAGGAAGGUGGGGAUGACGUCAAGUCAGUAUGGCCCUUACGGCCAGGGCUGCACACGUACUACAAUGCCCGGCACAAAGGGAAGCAAGACCGCAAGGUGGAGCAAAUCCCCAAAAACCGGGCCCAGUUCAGAUUGUCGUCUGCAACUCGACGACAUGAAGUUGGAAUCGCUAGUAAUGGCGCAUCAGCUACGGCGCCGUGAAUACGUUCCCAGGCCUUGUACACACCGCCCGUCACAUCAUGAAAGCCGUUUGUACCCGAAGUCACCACGUUAACCGCAAGGAAGCAGGUGCCGAAGGUAUGGAUGGUGAUUGGGAUGAAGUCGGAACAAGGUA